rnacentral:rRNA from 1 species
CCCUAAGGCGAGGCCGAAAGGCGUAGUCGAUGGGAAACGGGUUAAUAUUCCCGUACUUGGUGUUACUGCGAAGGGGGGACGGAGAAGGCUAUGUUGGCCGGGCGACGGUUGUCCCGGUUUAAGCGUGUAGGUGUGUGUUCCAGGUAAAUCCGGUUCACUUUAACACUGAGGCGUGACGACGAGGCACUACGGUGCUGAAGCAACAAAUGCCCUGCUUCCAGGAAAAGCCUCUAAGCAUCAGGUAACAUCAAAUCGUACCCCAAACCGACACAGGUGGUCAGGUAGAGAAUACCAAGGCGCUUGAGAGAACUCGGGUGAAGGAACUAGGCAAAAUGGUGCCGUAACUUCGGGAGAAGGCACGCUGACACGUAGGUGAAGUGAUUUACUCAUGGAGCUGAAGUCAGUCGAAGAUACCAGCUGGCUGCAACUGUUUAUUAAAAACACAGCACUGUGCAAACACGAAAGUGGACGUAUACGGUGUGACGCCUGCCCGGUGCCGGAAGGUUAAUUGAUG